rnacentral:pre_miRNA from 1 species
CUGAAUCGAAGGAAAAUUUCAAGCUUGACAAAUACGUCUUCCAUGGCGUCCGUCCCAAACCAGUCUUCCUAUAUGUGGAAAGGGUACACAAAGGAAGAAAGGAUACACAAAAGACUAGCAAAAUAGUCCACAAUACUCUUUCCACCAUUUUUAAGGGAGUCAGUCUUAUUUGUCAGGCUUGUUAUUCUCCUUCGAUGGCG